rnacentral:lncRNA from 1 species
GGCUAGGGGUUGAAUCGGAGCUGUAGCCACUGGCCUACGCCAGAGCCACAGCAACGUGGGAUCCGAGCCGCGUCUGCAACCUACACCACAGCUCACGGCAACGCCGGAUUGUUAACCCACUGAGCAAGAGCAGGGACCGAACCAGCAACCUCAUGGUUCCUAGUCGGAUUUGUUAACCACUGCGCCACGACGGGAACUCCCAGCCUUAAUUUUUAAUCAACUUUUUCUUAUAAUAUUACUUUGACCCUUUAUUUCAUAGUUCAUUUUUUUUGAAAUUGCAAAGCUAUGUUCUUCUUAUAUCACUUGAUUGUUGCAUUUAUUUCCUCUCAUAGAGUAUCCUAUUUUGCAUUUUCUGUUUAUUCAUCCUUGAAUAGGAAGUGGUAACAUAUAUAUGGUAUUUUAAUUUUUUUAAAUGGCUGCACCAGCAGCAUAUAGAAAUUCCUGGGCUGGGAUUGAAUCUGAGCUGCAGCUGCCACCUCUGUUGCAACUGUGGCAAUGCUGGAUCCUUUAACCCACUGUGCUGGGCCAGGCAUUGAACCCAAGCCUCCACAGUGAACUGAGGUGCUGCAGUCUGAUUCUUACCCACUGCACCAGAGCAGGGAUUCCAUAUUUUGUUUUUAAAUAAAGUAUAGUUGAUUCACAAUGUUGUGCCAAUUUUUGCUGAACAGCAAGGUGACCAAGUCUCAUAUAUACAGUAUUCAUACACACAUAUAUAUAUACACAUAUACACACAUUCCUUUUCUUAUAUUAUUUCCCAUCAUGGUCUGUCCCAGGAUACUGGAUAUAGUUCCCUGUGGUAUACAGUACGGUCUCACUGCAUAUCCAUUUUAAAUGCAAUAGUUUGCAUCUACUAACCCCAAACUCCCAGUUCAUCCUGCUCUCAUACUUGGCAACCACAAGUCUGUUCUCUGCCUGUGAGUCUGUUUCUGUUCUGUAGAUAGGUCAUUUGUGCUGUAUUUUAGAUCCCACAUAUAAGUGGUAUCAUAUGGUAUUUGCCCUUCUCUUUCUGACUUCACUCAGUAUGAGAAUGUCCAGUUGCAUCCAUUAUAUACGGUAUUUACUUUAAAAUACACUCUUUGGAUUCCCUCUUUGUUCAAACUGCUUUUUAAACAUUGAUCUCAUCAGCUCUGGAGUCCAGCAUUCUACAUAGAAAUUUCAGUGGAGGGUAGGUCACAGGCAACUUUGUGUGAAAAAGCUGUUUGUCUCAAUGAAUUCCUGGCUUUUUCUUGAUGCCUCUUGGACAAGGGGCUGGCUUUUAGUUCAUCAUUCCAAAGCCAAGUUUAGAAUUUUAGUGUAACAGAUCUGACAUCCCUUUUCAGUCCUCCUGUUUGCUCAUUUGACUUGAUGGUAUUGCAAAAUUCAUUUAUAAAUUUUCCAAUUUUAAGCCAUCCUCACAUUCCUGAGAUGAACUCCACUUGAUCAUGGUUGAUUGGUCUUUUAGUAUACUGUUUAAAUCCAUUUUAUGGUAUUGUAUUUACAAAUUUUCCUUCUGUUUUCUGAAAUGAAUUUUGUCUCUGUUUAUUUACUUCUGCUCAUUGCCAUAUUUUGGCUUCAAGAUUUUUCUAGUUUUAUAAAAUGAAUUGAAGUCUUUCAUCUUUUCCUGUGCACCAAAGAAAUUGUUCUUUAAAAAUAUGAAAUGAAUUUUUCUUAAAACUAUCAAAGGAUGUCUGUUUCCAGUUAUUGAAAUAAUUAUUUUUAUAUGAUUUUAAGGUACAUAGACAUGCAGGAGACAGAGGUAUAUAGCUGUAUUUAAAACUAAGAAAGAAAUUCACUGCAUAAUAAUGUUAAGUUGCUGUGUUGAAAUCCUUUGAGUGAUUUUUGAUUUGUUCUUCGUAUUUCUCUAUUUAUUAUGAGUAUGUUAUAACAAAAAGUUAAAAUAUAUUAAUGAAGCUUAUAGAUUCCUGAAUUACUUAACACUUGACUCAGAUGUGCUUUCUGAGCCUUAAAAAUAACUAUUGCCAUCAAUUAAAUUUCAUGUGAUAUUGAAAUACAUGUAUGAAGCAGGGUGCUAAAUUUAUUCUGCAGAACUUGUCACAUAAACAGUUUCUUUUCACAAAAUCAACAAUCAAGAAAACUUCACUAAAAGCCUUUUUACAUAAAAAUAGUUCAUUUAAAACAUGAUGAAUAUUGUUAAAUAUUGUUAAAGUGCCUAUAUUAGAAUAGCUGUGUAAAAUCCAACCUGUUUAUUUGAUGAAUCAUGAAUCUAAAACAUACACUUGCAAUAUAUCAAGAAGAAAAUUGACAUACUUUUUUUUUUUUUUAUCUUUUCUAGGACCGCUCCUGCUAGGAGUCGAAUUGGAGCUGUGGCCACCAGCCUGCGCCAGAGCCACAGCAACUUGGGAUCUGAGCCGUGUCUGCAACCUACACUAUAGCUCAUGGCAACACUGGAUCCUUAACCCACUGAGCAAGGCCAGGGAUCAAACCCACAACCUCAUGGUUCCUAGUUGGAUUCGGUAACCACUGUGCCAUGACAGGAACUCCUGACAUACUUUUUUGAUGGAUAACUUUUAAAGUGUAAGGUUAAGAAGAGAACAGUAUUUUCCCCCACAGAUUUCCUCAAAGGAUAGGUAGACAACUUAGAUGCAAGUUAUUAAUAAAUGUCUCAUUUCACAAGUUGGUUUAUAAAUUUAUUGCAAUCCUAAUCAAAAUCACAACUUAGAUGGAAGUGAAAAGAUUCAAAAAAAGCCUAGAUAUGUAGGAGGGCUUUCCCUAUCAAUUUCAAAAAUUUAUUAAAUGUUACAGUAAUUAAGGCAGUGUACUAUUAGUGCAGAGCUAGAUGUAUCAGAAUAAAGAACAACAAAUAGAUCUAUGCAUAUAUACAUAAUAAAUUCAAGAGUCUUUAGGAACUGAUGCUGGGGCAACUAGAUAACUGUUUGGGAAAAAAUGUUAAUGGACUACACAAAAUCAGUGGGUGCAUAUAGACCUGAAUGGGAAAUAAAAACUAAAAGCUUCUGCAAAAUAGUAUAGAAGUAUAUCUUUAUUAACUUGGAGAUACAGAAGGAUAUUUUAGAUAAGACAAAAAGUCUGUGUUAAGGAAAAUGGUAAAUCCAGAUACAGUAAAAUUCAGUGUUUCUUAUAGUCAGAAAAUAGCAUAAAGAAAUAAAAGCCAAAGAAUGGGAAAAGAUAUUUUAUAAUACAUAUAAUUAAUAAAAGACAAAUAUGGAACAUUUACAGAUAGUCUUUUUUUAAAGAAAACCAAUAAAAAUAUAGACCAAAUAUUUAAAUAGUUACUUGUCAAAAGAAUAAAUCUAAGAGAUCAAUAAAAAUAGGUUAAAAUACUCUGCUUCCAUAGUAAAUCAAAUUUAAGGAAUUCCCUUUGUGGCUCACUGGUUAACGAACCCAAUAGGAUUCAUGAGGAUGUGGGUUCAAUCUCUGGCCUCACUCAGUGGGUUAAGAAUUCAGCAUUGCCGUGAGCUGUGGUGUAGGUCACAGACGUGGCUCGGAUCCAAUGUUGUUGUGGCUCUGGCUUAGUCUGGCAGCUGUAGCUCCAAUUCAGCCCCUAGCCUGGGAACUUUCACAUGCCGUGGGUGUGGCCCUAAAAAACAAACAAAAAAAUUUAAAACCACAAUCACCAGUUGUCAAACAUUUAAAAUGAGGAUGUAGAGCAAUAGGAUUUUUCAUAUGUUGCUGUAUAAUGUGCAAAUUAGUAUAACAACUUUGGGAAACAGUUUAGCAUUUUCUGGUAAAUUUAAUGACAUGCAGACCUUGUAUCUUAGCAAUUGUUUUCCUGGGAGUGCAUCCUAGAGAAAUAUAUGCCCAUAUGUCAGAAGACAUAUAUAGAGAUGUUCCCAGAAGCAUUUUUUGCAAUAGACAAAAACUCAAAAUGACUCAAACCCAUCAAUAGUAAACUGGACAACUAACUUGCAGACUUUUCAUAGAGUGGCCUUUAUAUAAUGGAGUAAUCAAUAAAAUUGAAUGCACUAGAGCAACAUGCAAUAACACAAAUGAAUUUUACAAAUAAAAUGCAAAAUAAAAGACUCCAUUAUAAGAGUUUAAAACGUGAAAAACUAUAUUGUAUCAUUUGGGGAUGCUCCCAUGGGUUAAAGCCAAAAAGAGAAGCCAUGAAGUAAUUAAUGGAAGUUAUAACACUGCUUACCUCCUUGAAGGAAUGAAGGGAUCAUUGUAAGAAGAAAUAGGCAGAAGGUCUUAGGGGAGCAGGAAAUGCUACAUCUGUGACUACAUGCUGAUCACACAGGGCUCAUAUAAUAAAUUUCAUCAUUGAGCCUUCAUGUACUAUUCUGUGUAUAUUUU